GAAAACGCGAAUGAACUUUCCAGUAGGAUUUUCUCGCUUGGGAAACGUUUCUUUAAACUUUUAAAAGAAAAAAAUGUUCUUACGCGGUCCGUCAACCGUUGAAUGUGCGGCGUAUUUACUCGAAUGCCAUCUCACUUCCGUUGUAGCUAUAGCGGCACAAGUAGUGGAAGUCAAACUGGGCUUAAAAUAAUAAUUUCGGCACAUAUUGUCCAAGAAUGUUACCGUAAUAGAGUAGGAGACUGUUCUAAAGAAGUCAAGACGUGCUGACGCAUUAAGAAAAGUCCGACGAUAAAAAUAACUGACCGGAAUUAGUAAACAAAUAGAACAAACCCGGAGUGCAGGUGGAAGCGCUGCCGUUUCCUCAUAGACGCCGAAGUUGCACAGCUGCCGUUUAUAAACCGUUCUUUUUUUUUCUUUUUUUUAAUCGCGAGACGAUAUCCUUCGCAGUCUGGUACAGUUUUAGUCGAUAGAAAGAUUUCUGUAUUUUGUCCUCAAUUUUUAUAAAAAAAUUUCGCUUUUGGCACGGGAUUAGCGUGUUAUUUCGUCUUUAUUUUUGUCCGCCACAUUCAUAACGCGUGAAUGACGAAACGGAAGUUGCGUAUCUCGGCUGCGAUUUCUAGGUAGCAGUUAUGCUAAAAAUUAGCUUUUAUGGCAGCCUGAAAACUGUCAAGCGCAGCUGGUUUGGUAAAGAUCUAACGUUUUCCCCCUUACAAUAUAUAUCUCUUAGCAAGCGAGUUUAAUAAAUGUAGUAAGAUUUUAGAGCGCGCGGCGGAUUAUAAAAGAGAAGAAUGGGACGGAGGUGUUUCCAGUCAACUCCGCCCAAAAGUGGAUCGGUCCCGUGGCGGGACACAUGGGAGAAGGAAAGAACCGAUUUAUAAAUAUUCAAAAUUCCAAAGUGACAUUCCCGGUGCAACCCUUCUCACAUUCUGGCUUCUGCUCCAUGCCGCCGCAAGACUAUUCACACUCCGAAGGCCACCUACGAAGACAACGCGAGAGGCACCCGACACCCGAGCACUCAACGCGAGCGCGCAACACACACCAGCUGUGUAUCCCUCGGCGGAUUUUUAUUUUGGAAAGACGGUAAUCAAAUAAGGCAAAGUUACGAAGUCCAGGUACAUUGCCCCGUUUGUUUUGACCAGAGUCGGCGGCAAAGCGCAACUUUAGACGUGCCCAUCCGACUGGCGCGGCCUCCCCUCCGGCCCAGUGGGUGCGGUCUCGUGUCACGGAGUCGUGCAGUGCAGUAAUGAUGGUAAUCGCUUCGUAGCGGCAGCCAGCCGGAACAAAGGCAAGCCGCCAGCCAGAGAACGAUAAGGGCUCCUGCGCCGGCGCUGUCCGUCCCAGUGUUGUAGGCGUCGACCAAGCGGAAAGACCUGCCGAACAUCCGUCGGCUAGAAGCGUAACACAGACCGGACCAGUCCGGUCGCACGGUACUUUGUAGCCCCCGAUUUAACGUACCGAAUUUUUGCCAGGUAACGACACCCUUGCACACUUAUGGUCCGUGCAAGCCAUCAACAUGACUGGGGGGCGUUGACCUGUCAGCCAUGUACUAUACCAGUCUGUUCUCUACCCUUCGACC
rnacentral:lncRNA from 1 species